rnacentral:rRNA from 3 species
AGACCCGAAACCCGGUGAUCUAGCCAUGGGCAGGUUGAAGGUUGGGUAACACUAACUGGAGGACCGAACCGACUAAUGUUGAAAAAUUAGCGGAUGACCUGUGGCUGGGGGUGAAAGGCCAAUCAAACCGGGAGAUAGCUGGUUCUCCCCGAAAGCUAUUUAGGUAGCGCCUCGUGAAUUCAUCUCCGGGGGUAGAGCACUGUUUCGGCUAGGGGGCCAUCCCGGCUUACCAACCCGAUGCAAACUGCGAAUACCGGAGAAUGUUAUCACGGGAGACACACGGCGGGUGCUAACGUCCGUCGUGAAGAGGGAAACAACCCAGACCGCCAGCUAAGGUCCCAAAGUCAUGGUUAAGUGGGAAACGAUGUGGGAAGGCCCAGACAGCCAGGAUGUUGGCUUAGAAGCAGCCAUCAUUUAAAGAAAGCGUAAUAGCUCACUGGUCGAGUCGGCCUGCGCGGAAGAUGUAACGGGGCUAAACCAUGCACCGAAGCUGCGGCAGCGACACUCAGGUGUUGUUGGGUAGGGG